ACGGGAGGCAGCAGUGAGGAAUAUUGGUCAAUGGACGAGAGUCUGAACCAGCCAAGUAGCGUGCAGGAUGACGGCCCUCCGGGUUGUAAACUGCUUUUAGUUGGGAAUGAAAGAAGGGACGUGUCCCUUAUUGUAUGUACCAUCAGAAAAAGGACCGGCUAAUUCCGUGCCAGCAGCCGCGGUAAUACGGAAGGUCCGGGCGUUAUCCGGAUUUAUUGGGUUUAAAGGGAGCGUAGGCGGGCCUUUAAGUCAGUGGUAAAAGCGUGUGGCUCAACCACACCACGCCAUUGAAACUGGAGGCCUUGAGUGCACACAGGGAUGCUGGAAUUCGUCGUGUAGCGGUGAAAUGCUUAGAUAUGACGAAGAACACCGAUUGCGUAGGCAGCAGACCAGGCCGUAAAUGACGCUCAUGCACGAAAGUGCGGGGAUCGAACAGGAUUAGAUACCCUGGUA
rnacentral:rRNA from 1 species